rnacentral:rRNA from 1 species
CCUACGGGCGGCAGCAGUGGGGAAUAUUGGUCAAUGGGCGCGAGCCUGAACCAGCCAAGUAGCGUGAAGGAUGACUGCCCUACGGGUUGUAAACUUCUUUUAUAAAGGCAUAAAGUGAGGCACGUGUGCCUUUUUGUAUGUACUUUAUGAAUCAAGCUCGGCUAACUCCAGGCCAGCAGCCACGGUAAUCCGGAGGAUUCAAGCGUUAUCCGGAUUUAUUGGGUUUAAGGGGUGCGUAGGCGGGCUGUUAGGUCAGCGGUAAAAGCCCGGGGCUCAACCCCGGCGAGCCUUUGAAACUGGCUGUCUUGAGAUGUCGAGAGGUAAACGGAAUGCGCAGUGUAGCGGUGAAAUGCGUAGAGAUUGCGCAGAACUCCGAUUGCGAAGGCAGCAUACCGGCGGCGAUCUGACGCUGAGGCACGAAAGCGUGGGUAUCGAACAGGAUUAGAUACCCCAGUAGUC